rnacentral:snoRNA from 1 species
AACCCAUGGUGAGGGCACCUUCUCAAUAGAUCCUUGUAUCUCUCCUAUGCAUCAUAGAGUGUUUCUAGAUCCAUCUGCAAAUUUCAUUUAUUUCACAUUUUAGUCC